rnacentral:rRNA from 1 species
UACGGGGGGGGCAAGCGUUGUUCGGAAUUACUGGGCGUAAAGGGCUCGUAGGCGGCCAACUAAGUCAGACGUGAAAUCCCACGGCUCAACCGUGGAAGUGCCCCCGAUACUGCCUGUCUCGAGGGAGAUAGGGGCGUGCGGAACUUCCGGUGGGGCGGUGAAAUGCGUAGAUAUCGGAAGGAACACCGGUGGCGAAAGCGGCGCGCUGGAUCUCUUCUGACGCUGAUGCGCGAAAGCCAGGGGAGCAAACGGG